rnacentral:rRNA from 1 species
CCUACGGGAGGCAGCAGUGGGGAAUAUUGCACAAGGGGGGAAACCCUGAUGCAGCGACGCCGCGUGAGUGAAGAAGGAUCUCGGUAUGUAAAGCUCUAUCAGCAGGGAAGAAAAUGACGGUACCUGACUAAGAAGCCCCGGCUAACGACGUGCCAGCAGCCGCGGGAAUACGUAGGGGGCAAGCGUUAUCCGGAUUUACUGGGUGUAAAGGGAGCGUAGACGGCGCGGCACGUCCGGAGUGAAAGCCCAUGGCUUAACCAUGGUACUGCUCUGGAAACUGUGGAGCGUGAGUGCGGGAGGGGCAGGCGGCCUUCCUAGUGUAGCGGUUCACUGCUUAGAUAUUAGGCG